ACCAGGGCCGUUGAGAAGGUUCCAGAGGCUCCACCAGGGAAGAUGAGGAGUUUGUUGUCCCUCACGUUGAUAACGAGCUCCUCAUCCAACUGGUGGAGGCGCGUCCAUCUUUAUGGGACCACUCCGACCGCCACCACGCUGAUUAUCAUCGCACCCAGCGGCUCUGGAGGAACAUAUGUUCAGAUG